GAUGAACGCUAGCUACAGGCUUAACACAUGCAAGUCGAGGGGUAACGAGAGGAAAGCUUGCUUUCCUUGUCGACGACCGGCGCACGGGUGAGUAACGCGUAUCCAACCUGCCCCCAACUAGGGAAUAACCUUGCGAAAGUAAGACUAAUACCCUAUAAUUUCCUCAGAUGUCAUCUGACGAGGAAUAAAGAUUUAUCGGUUGUGGAUGGGGAUGCGUCUGAUUAGCUUGUUGGCGGGGGAACGGCCCACCAAGGCAACGAUCAGUAGGGGUUCUGAGAGGAAGGUCCCCCACAUUGGAACUUGGACACGGUCCAAACUCCUACGGGAGGCAGCAGUGAGGAAUAUUGGUCAAUGGGCGGAAGCCUGAACCAGCCAAGUAGCGUGCAGGAUGACGGCCCUAUGGGUUGUAAACUGCUUUUAUACAGGAAUAAAGUUAGCCACGUGUGGUUAUUUGUAGGUACUGUAUGAAUAAGGACCGGCUAAUUCCGUGCCAGCCGCCGCCGUAA
rnacentral:rRNA from 1 species